rnacentral:rRNA from 1 species
AGAUUAGCUUGCUUAAGUUGUCAGCUAAGUGGCGCACGGGUGAGUAAUAUAUAGUUAACCUGCCCUCAAGAAAGGAAUAACAGUUGGAAACGACUGCUAAUGCCCUAUAUGCCUUUAAUACAUAAGUAUGCAAGGGAAACGCUUUAGUGCUUGAGGAUGGGACUGUAUGGUAUCAGUUAGUUGGUGAGGUAAUGGCUCACCAAGACUAUGACGCCUAACUGGUUUGAGAGGAUGAUCAGUCACACUGGAACUGAGACACGGUCCAGACUCCUACGGGAGGCAGCAGUGGGGAAUAUUGCACAAUGGACGAAAGUCUAAUGCAGCAACGCCGCGUGGAGGAUGACACAUUUCGGUGCGUAAACUCCUUUUAUAUAGGAAGAUAAUGACGGUACUAUAUGAAUAAGCACCGGCUAACUCCGUGCCAGCAGCCGCGGUAAUACGGAGGGUGCAAGCGUUACUCGGAAUCACUGGGCGUAAAGAGCGUGUAGGCGGAUAUAUAAGUCAGAAGUGAAAUCCAAUAGCUUAACUAUUGAACUGCUUUUGAAACUGUAUAUCUAGAAUGUGGGAGAGGUAGAUGGA